rnacentral:rRNA from 1 species
GACAGAGGUGCCAAGCGUUAGGCGGAAUCACUGGGCUUAAAGCGUGUGUAGGUGGAAGCGUAAGUACCUUGUGAAAUCCCCCGGCUCAACCGGGGAACUGCCGGGCAUACUGGCGGGCUUGGGUCGCUCAGGGGCAGACGGAACAGGCGGUGGAGCGGUGAAAUGCGUAGAUAUCGGGAGGAACACCUGUGGCGAAAGCGGCUCACUGGACCACAACUGACGCUGAGGCGCGAAAGCUAGGGGAGCAAACAGG